AGAGUAAAGGUGCUAGUGCUGGAAGAGAAUGGACUGAACAGGAGACCCUUCUACUCCUGGAGGCCCUGGAGAUGUACAAGGAUGAUUGGAACAAAGUGUCGGAACAUGUUGGAAGUCGUACUCAGGAUGAAUGCAUCCUCCACUUUUUGAGACUUCCCAUUGAGGACCCAUACCUUGAGAAUUCAGAUGCUUCCCUUGGGCCUUUGGCCUACCAGCCUGUCCCCUUCAGUCAGUCAGGAAAUCCAGUUAUGAGUACUGUUGCUUUUUUGGCAUCUGUGGUGGACCCUCGCGUGGCAUCUGCUGCAGCAAAAGCGGCUUUGGGAGUUUUCUCGGGUCCGGGAGGAGGUACCACUGGAAUUGGUUGAAGCUCAUGUCAAGAAAGUACAAGAAGCAGCACGAGCCUCUGGGAAAGUGGAUCCCACCUACGGUCUGGAGAGCAGCUGCAUUGCAGGCACAGGGCCCGAUGAGCCAGAGAAGCUUGAAGGAGCUGAAGAGGAAAAAAUGGAAGCCGACCCUGAUGGUCAGCAGCCUGAAAAGGCAGAAAAUAAAGUGGAAAAUGAAACGGAUGAAGGUGAUAAAGCACAAGAUGG
rnacentral:lncRNA from 1 species